ensembl:lncRNA
AAAUUACCUGUCACAGGAUAUUUUCUUCUAUGUACUAGCUUAUCCCAGCAAAUGAAAACCAUAGUGAAAAUGUACAUAGCUAUGUUUGUCUUCUGAACUGCAUGUGUGCAUGUGUGUGUGUGUGUGUGUGUGUGUGUGUGUGUGUGUGUAGCUGCUGGUGGUGGUGGUGGGUGCCCCUGUUGCAAUGUUCAGAACUCUGAAGUCUGGAUUGUCCAUUUACAUAAGCUGAAUAUCCAGAGUUAUUUUUCUUGUAGAAAAAGUAUAAAUUUUGUUAUUAUAAACUUCUUUAACACUCAUGUUUGACUUUAAUUACAUAUUGACAGAAUUCACACUCUGAAUUUGGACUUUUAUACAUAAAAUGACAAGUAUUAGAAGCUUUCAUGGAUUUAACACUGCCCACUUCCAAAGAAUUUGACCCUAUGAGCUAUGAUUUGUGUAUUUACAAGUUUGUUGACAUAUUCUUUAAAAAAUAAAUAGAACAGAAAAAUGAAGCUUGUAAUAAGUAUAAGUCCCAUAAACUGUACAUACGAGUUUAUAUCUCAUAUGGACUUUCAAAUAUGGUAGAAAAGAAAAGGACAAGACUCAAUGAACUGUUUUAAGCAUAUUGUACCCACAAGGCAUGAAGUACGUAGAUAUUUUAUAGCAGUUUUUAAUGUCUGGUAGCAGAACACAUCCACCCAACUGCCACCAAAACCAAAACUAUGAUAUUAUAUUUUCCAGAUUUUUUGCAUGUUUUAAGAACAUUACAUAAAACAAGUAGAUAUUUCUUUUGUUUUGUUUUGUUUUGUUUUGUUUUGUUGGUACUGGGGAUUGAACUCAGGACCUUGUGCUUGCAAAGCAGGCAAUGGAACCACUGAGCUAGAUCCCUGGCAACAAGUAGAUAUUUCUAAUGUGCUUCAUUCUAUACUGUGGUCUCAUAAGGACUAAAUGACAAAUGUGUGGCCCAGUUUGGAUAAUAAUAUUGGCCCUGGGGCCAGAAUGCACUUUAUUCUCUCCUCCAUGCUCUUUCCUUUAACUAGUGUUACACCAGAACUCUAAUAAACAUUUUUGGGGCCUAGAUUUUUUUCACAAAUGAGAAAAUCAAGGUCCAAAGGCCAGACCAUUUAUUCUCAAAAUGCCAGUAAAUGCCAGAGCCAUAGUAAGAAUACCCAGGUUUUUAAUCACUGUAUUUUUCUUUCAGGAACAAUGCAAUAUGUGGCAUGGAACAGACAGAGCACAUUGAGAAGAAAUACAUUUAAGAAGACACUAAAUAAUUUCUUCAUAGAAAUUCAAGAAUAUAUGAUGUCCAUAUUUAUGUAUCUAUAUCUAUCCAUCUAUCUAUCUAAAUAACUACAUAUGUAUGGCUGCUACGGCUACUAUGUAAAAGAAAUAAUAUGAAGAAAAGAAAAACAUCAUUAAAAGUUUUUAAAAAUGUAAUUUAAAACAUUGGAAGGUCCCAAAGUACAGAGCAAAAAGCAAAGAGAGGGGAAAAAUAGAAAGCUUAGGGAGCUUUGAGAAUCAACUCAUCGGAAGACAACAAAUAUCUAAUAUAUGUCCUAAAACACAGAGAAAUAGAAGUUACAAAGGCUCUUCAAAAAGAAGACUGUUUGCUAGAACUGAAGAAUAUCUGGGUUUCUCAGAUUUAAAGUGUUGACUGGUUUCUUGGUAACUUGAAUAAAUGAUAGCCUACACAUAAAUUUAACCCCAUGGAAUUUCAAAAAACCAAGUGUCAAGAGAAGCUUAUUAUUCCAGAACCGAAUAACAAAAAUUCAGACUAGCACAUAAAUCUUUCAUUGGCACUAGAAGACAUAAAAUGGCAGGGACAUAAUUCCUUGUGUGCUCUGAAGAAAAUUACUUGGAUUUCACAUGUUUCCAAGCCCUCCCUGUCCUUUCCACAUUGUUCCAGGAUUCUGGAAUACCUUGCCUUGCAGCUUUUAGUUGGGUUUUAAUAUCAAUGGCUACCAUCAGGAGACUGAAGAGGCAAAGGAUAACAAAGUAAAAAUAUUUGCCCUUUGCCAGAUUAUUGUGGCCCUGAAAGUUAUUGGCUACAUUGUUUUGGACCAUAGCUUGAGAUCCCAUUCUUGUUUGGAUUUUAUUUACAGCUAAUGAUUAAGAAAACAAGAAGAAAAAGAAAAAAAUCUCAUCUCGCUUGCUUCUCAUAUAACUUCUUCACAUAGUCCCCAACACAUCUCCAGGUCUACUACUGUGUAACUUCCUGCCUAAUAAGGGUAGCUUUGGAGAGCAGUGCCUGAAGUAUGGCUGUGAGGAAAAAGAGGAAGACUAAAUCACAACAGACUGAAGAAAGUACUGGCUGAAUCUGAAUAAUGAAUCUUACUUUUGUUUCCUGGACUUUUCCUAGUCACAUCCCAUGAAUAACUUCUCUCCCAUCCUUCUUUCUUUCUUUCUUCCAGUUUUACAAGACACUUAAAUAUGAAUUCUAAGUCAUUUCUUUAUGAUUUAUUUAUUUUGUCCUUAAUGUCUACUCUGUCUACAUGAAGUAUGCAUGUCUAUAAUCUUGAUUAUUUUUCUCUUAUUCAUUUUUGUCUACUGUUAUAGUUGAGAUCUAAAAUAUCCCUCCUAAGUCUCAUGUGUUUGGGAGGAGAUUGGAUCGUGGGGGUGCUAUACUUAUCCACUGAUAAGUUCAGAAGCUGAAUAUACUGCUAGGAGACAGGGUCUGGUUGGAGAUAGAUCACUGGAGCCUUGAUCUGAAAGGGUGUAUUCUUGUCCACAGCUCUUCCCUUUUCUCUCCACUUUCUGUCUGCAUGGGUUGAAUAGCUUUCCUCUGCCAUGGCCCUCUGCCAUGCUAUUUCUGCCUUGGAGCCAGCUGACCAUGGACUGUAUCCUCAGGAUCCAAAAUACACUUCUCCUCCUUCAAAUUCUGAGUGUCAUGUGUUUUUUCCCAGUAAUAGAAAAGUGACUAAUACAUCUAGGGUCCCAGCCAAGAACUCAAAAGGAUACGGAUAAUUACUUUUUACUCUCCUACAAUAAUCAAUUUUAUGUUGAUAAGUACUCAAAUGCAUUGCCAUGUAUCUCAUCUCUGUGGAAAUUUAAAUAAAAUAAAUUUAAAACUAGUGCCUAGCAUGCUUUAUUAGCAUGCAUACAACCCUAAUUUUGAUCUCCCACAGCAAAAAUAUAACUGAAUUAUACAAUCAAUGCACCCAACCAUUAAUGGAAAAUUAGAAUGUAAUAAAAGAAACCCCUCAAAUUAGUGAGGAAAGAUGAAAUUAUUUAAAAGUAGUAUUAGGGAAAUGAUAUAGAAAUAUUCAAAAAGAUAAAAUUCAUCCAUUUAUCACACUUCAUACCAGAAAAUUCCAAUAGAUUAGAUAUGUACAUGAAACAACAAUAAAAAAUUGAACAAAAGAAUCUGAAAAAUUUGAAUGAGUUUCUUGGAAUAGGGAAAAUUUUCCCUAACAAUAUAAAAUCUAAAAGCAUAAAAGAAAGGUUUAACAUUUAAAUUAACAAAACGUUUUAAAUGUUUGUAUGAUAGAAUUGGAACCGAGGUCAAACUUUGAACUAAAGGAGGUUAGAAGGGCUCCAAAGAGGCCUCAGAAACAAAGUUCGUCUGACCUUUUUCCCUCCUGUUUCCCACUCCUGCUUCUUGAUCCUCAUCCUACUGUUCUGGACAAGGGAACCACACAAACCAGAUUUCUUCCAAGGUCAUAGAAAGUAAACCCUUUCUCUCUCAAAGCAAGCCAUAAAACCUAGAAAAGUCAUUCCUCUUACCCUUUUCCCCUUCCCCUUUAACCCUCAUUCCAUAGGGAUUCUGUCUCAUAACCAGAAGGAUGACAGGCUGUAUUAGUCACUUUUCCACUGCUGGGAUAAUAUUCCCGAAACCAGAAACUUAAAGGAGGAGUGAUUUAUCAUGGCCCACAGGUUUAGAGGUCUUAGCCUAUGCUUAACUGGAUCCAAAGCAGAAAUGGCCAGGUGAAUGGGCAUGAUGGCAGGAAGCUGCUCUACCUAUGGCACCCAGAAAGCAAGGAGAGAAGGGAAGAGCUAGAAGUAAGAAGACAGCCUUCUAGGUCAGCCUCUGGUGACUACUUCUUUCAACCAAGCCCCAUUUCUGAACACUAGAGAUUUUUGGAGGGACACUGUAGAUCUGAACUAUAACAGAGACCAAAAAGAGUUGAAACAGGUAGAUCUUGUUGGGACCUCCCUCAGACUAUUAUCAUUAAAUCAUAUCCUAAUCACAUUUCUACAUGGCUGUUCAUUCUUCAUGGAAUAUAAGUGUAUAAAUAGUUUCCAUGGGUCUUUACAGCUUCAUUUCUGACCUAUCACAUAAAACUG